GGUAGGGUAUGUCAUAUGUGUUCGGCGUUUGCGACUGGCGUAGGAGAAGAAUUCCUCCGGAGCCCUCGACUGAUCUCUCGCGAUCUCCCUCGCCCUCUCCUCCUGAUCUCCUCCCUCGCGAAGAACAACGAUUCGCCGAUAUCCUCAAUUCAUCGAUCUCCUCGAUUCGCCUUUCUCCUCCCUCGCGAAGCCCUCGCAAAGAACACCUCCAUAAAAAUCUGAAAUUUCUUCCUUCUUUCAGUUGCCAAACAUCCCCUACUCAUUUCUGCAUAAGAAAGGAAACCAGUGAGUCAAAAAAUUAGUAAGUCACGAAACUCAUCUUCUCCUUUCGGCUUCCUCUCUCCAAUAAGAAACCCUCGAACCUUCACACGUCGAUCACCCCGAAGAAGGCUUCACCAGUGAAAACAUGGAGUUUAAGUUAGAAGCAAAGUGGCGGAAGGCGAUGGUUUCUGGUAUCAUUUGUUGUUGCAACUCAGGUAGUUAACAACGUUCAUGGUCAAGUUCGAGGUCGAGAUCGAGGGAGAUCAAGAAAGACAUGAAGUUGACAACAAGCACAAAAAUUACAGUUGUUGGUUUUGGCAAAUAAUCAGUCUCCUGUGCAUUCAUACUGCCUAUUUCAUCAGCACAAAAUGGCAAACAACAUGGCAUACUUAUGUGGAUGAGUAUUAUCAUUCAACCAGAAUGGCCUAUGAUAGUGCAAUCUCUUCCAUCCCGGGAAAGAGCAAAUGGAUUGCACCUAACGAUGAGGUACAUAUAAUGCCACCAUAAUCAUGUAAGCCUAGAGGUAGGCCAAAGAAAAGGAGAAUAUGAAGUUUUAUGGAGAAUCAAAGUAAAAAAAAAAGAGUAAAAUUGCUCACAAAUGUGGCCAUUGCGGUGGUUGGGAGAAUCACAAAACCACUUACAAUAAUCCAAUUAGCCAAUAAAGCAUAGUUUCCCUGAUGUUGAUACAACCUCAUGCAUCUCUAAUUUUACGUAUGUUGAUAAGGGCUCAAGGACAAAACUUCCAGUACGCCGACAGUGAUUGGAUGACACUGACGGAGUUUACAUUGAUGAAGAACAGUUAAAAGUGAAGCGCACAUGAUAUUUUCUUAUUAAUUUUUUUUAUCACAGUUUUACUAAGCAAUGCUAUGAAAUAAUAUCACUCUUAUUAUGUUGGAAUUGAUAAACAUGCGUUAACAAAAAUUGCAUAAAAUAAGAUACCAAUAUUUUUUGGAACGUGUGACAUAAUUAUGUUUAUGGAGAAUGUGGCUUUUGGUUUACAAUGAACUUUUGAAUUUAAACAUAUACCACAUCUUUUUAGAGUUUCAUUAUCCAUAUUAAGCUCCUGAUAUGCAUUGCAAGAAUGAGAUCUUACAUCCAGUGGUUUUUUUUAUAUUCAACUUAUUUAAAGUUUCGAUUU